rnacentral:misc_RNA from 1 species
GAUGAAGAACGUAGCGAAAUGCGAUAAGUAGUGUGAAUUGCAGAAUUCAGUGAAUCAUCGAAUCUUUGAACGCACAUUGCGCCCCUUGGUAUUCCAUGGGGCAUGCCUGUUCGAGCGUCAUUUGUACCUUCGAGCUUUGCUUGGUGUUGGGUGUUUGUCUCGCCUUUGCGUGUAGACUCGCCUUAAAAUAAUUGGCAGCCGGCGUAUUGAUUUCGGAGCGCAGUACAUCUCGCGCUUUGCACUCAUAACGACAGCGUCCAAAAGUACAUUUUACACUCUUGACCUCGGAUCAGGUAGGGAUACCCGCUGAACUUAAGCAUAUCAAUAAGCGGAGGA